rnacentral:rRNA from 1 species
AUUGAACGCUGGCGGCAGGCUUAACACAUGCAAGUCGAGCGGAGUGAUGGUGCUUGCACUAUCACUUAGCGGCGGACGGGUGGGUAAUGCUUAGGAAUCUGCCUAUUAGUGGGGGACAACAUCUCGAAAGGGAUGCUAAUACCGCAUACGUCCUACGGGAGAAAGCAGGGGAUCACUUGUGACCUUGCGCUAAUAGCUGAGCCUAAGUCGGAUUAGCUAGUUGGUGGGGUAAAGGCCUACCAAGGCGACGAUCUGUAGCGGGUCUGAGAGGAUGAUCCGCCACACUGGGACUGAGACACGGCCCAGACUCCUACGGGAGGCAGCAGUGGGGAAUAUUGGACAAUGGGGGGAACCCUGAUCCAGCCAUGCCGCGUGUGUGAAGAAGGCCUUAUGGUUGUAAAGCACUUUAAGCGAGGAGGAGGCUCUUUUGGUUAAUACCCAAGAUGAGUGGACGUUACUCGCAGAAUAAGCACCGGCUAACUCUGUGCCAGCCGCCGCCGUAA